rnacentral:snRNA from 1 species
GAGUGUUACAGCUCUUUUAGAAUUUGUCUAGCAGGUUUUCUGGUGGUCAUUGGAAGACGCUC